UACGUAGGGGGCUAGCGUUGUCCGGAUUUAUUGGGCGUAAAGAGCGUGUAGGCGGCCAGGCAGGUCCGCUGUGAAAACUCGAGGCUCAACCUCGAGAUGUCGGUGGAAACCGUCUGGCUAGAGUCCGGAAGAGGAGAGUGGAAUUCCUGGUGUAGCGGUGAAAUGCGCAGAUAUCGGGAAGAACACCGAUGGCGAAGGCAGCUCUCUGGGACGGUACUGACGCUGAGACGCGAAAGCGUGGGGAGCGAACAGG
rnacentral:rRNA from 1 species